rnacentral:tRNA from 1 species
GCCGGCUAUGCGCUGGCGAAGUUCCCGUUCCGCGGCCGGGAGGCGCUGUUCAACGUGGUGCUCGCCGGGGUGCUGAUCCCCGGCACGGCAC